GUCUCUGUCCCUGCCACAUAGCCCCAGGCCCAAGACACUCCCCCCUAGGAGGGAUCCUUUUCCCAGAAGCUCCACCCCUCGGCAGCUGCAGUCAGGCCCUAUCUGGGCCUUUCCAGAAGCAACUCAGGAGCCCCAAGACCUGCAGGGGUAUGUGCACCCUGACCCCUGAUGCAUAGCCCUGCACCUGCAACCAGCUGGCCUCGGGCUGCAAACAAGGCGGGGACUUACUGUCUUGUCAUCCCCUGGACCCAAGAUGAGGGUGCUAGGACGCCCUCCCACACCACCCCAGCUUACCCAGGGGCACACCUCAGGAAAUUUCCCCUAAAGACCUGAGGAAUCACCGAAUGAAAGGGGCUUUUUACAAACUGGAAACUUAAGUGGAGUGCCAAUACACAACAUGGAUUGCACCAGGCUAGGUCUAAGAUAAAACCAGACUGUGGACAACAGGACAGAUAAGACACACAUGGCUCUGCACUGCCUGGGUCUGUUAUUGUGUGGAGGAAUGUCUUAGUCUGUUGCUCCUGUGGGUGUCGCUAAAGCACGAACCAGGGGUCUUCAUCCUUAGAAAGCAGUUAGACACCUGAGAACCAAUCCCAAACUGCAGCCUUCCACAGAACCUUCUGGAACCUUCUGGAAUGCAACUCAUUACUGCCAGAGGCUCUUUGAUGAGAGUCUACUCUCCACCAUUUGUCUUCAAAGAGAAUACCCACAUAUUAUCUUUCUGUGGAAAGGCUUGGAAAUCUAGUGUAUAUUUUACACUAAGAGCAUAUCUCAAUUAAGAUGGCCACAUCUCAAGUGCCCAGUAGCCACAUGUGGCCUGAGGCCAUGACUCUGGGCAGUACAGCUUUAGGUCAAGCGUGCCUCACAAAGGGACCAGUGGAGGUGCCUCAGUUUACUUGGGAGCUUGGCCUCUCCAGCUUGCCCUCCUACUGCCUGGAAGAAGAUUAGUGUCCUCUUGCCUUCUCUAGCCCCUUUCCCAAGAACCCUCCCAGAAUUUCGUCCUAUGAAGGGCCAGGGGUGCAAGGAGUCACCCACACAAUGACAGGACCCACCAGCAAUACCAGAAGUUGGCUAGCCCUACUCAUCCAAAUUCCCUUCUGCCAGCUGGACAUCACAAGGAUUUCAGACUGCCAUCCUGUGACAACUCCAUUUUGGGGUCUGGGGAUGUAAGGGUUACUGUAUUAGUCCAUUCUCACUCUGCUAAUAAAGACAUACCUGAGACUGG
rnacentral:lncRNA from 1 species